rnacentral:misc_RNA from 1 species
GAUGAAGAACGCAGCGAAAUGCGAUACUUGGUGUGAAUUGCAGAAUCCCGUGAACCAUCGAGUCUUUGAACGCAAGUUGCGCCCGAAGCCAUCAGGUUGAGGGCACGUCUGCCUGGGCGUCACAUAUCGUUGCCCAAUGCCUAUUGCAGUGCAAUAGGAAUUUCUAGGGCGAAUGAUGGCUUCCCGUGAGCGUUGUUGCCUCGCGGUUGGUUGAAAAUCGAGUCCUUGGUAGGGUGUGCCAUGGUAGAUGGUGGUCGAGUUAGAACGAUACCGAUCAUGUGCAUGCUCCCCAAAAUAUGGCCUCUAUGACCCACACGCGUCUUUUGACGCUCAUGACGAGACCUCAGGUCAGGCGGGGCUACCCGCUGAAUUUAAGCAUACCAAUAAGCGGAGGA